CGCCCUUGAGUUUGAUCCUGGCUCAGAACGAACGCUGGCGGCAGGCUUAACACAUGCAAGUCGAGCGCGAAGCCACCUUCGGGUGGGUGGAGAGCGGCGGACGGGUGAGUAACGCGUGGGUAUCUGCCCUGGAGUGGGGGACAACCGCUGGAAACGGCGGCUAAUACCGCAUACGCCCGUGGGACGUGAGGUCCUGCGGGGAAAGAUUUAUCGCUCCGGGAUGAGCCCGCGUCGGAUUAGCUAGUUGGUGGGGUAACGGCCUACCAAGGCGACGAUCCGUAGCUGGUUUGAGAGGAUGAUCAGCCACACUGGGACUGAGACACGGCCCAGACUCCUACGGGAGGCAGCAGUGGGGAAUAUUGCACAAUGGGCGGAAGCCUGAUGCAGCCAUGCCUUUUUUUUGAAGAAGGCCCUAGGGUUGUAAAGCUCUUUCAGUGGUGACGAUGAUGACGGUAGCCACAGAAGAAGCCCCGGCUAACUCCGUGCCAGCAGCCGCGGUAA
rnacentral:rRNA from 1 species